UCAGGAUCUCGAAGGACAGAUUGAACUAACCUACUUCGGCUAUCGCUGAUUCUUCAUUGCAUCAUGGAUAUAUGAAUGGAUAAUGGAGAAAAUCGUAAUCAAUCUCCGAAGAGCAAAAUCAAGGCAGCGCUUUGGUAAUUGCUGGGCUGUAGGGAGGCGGGAAAAAGAGUCUCUGAAAAGAAGAAGUAGCGAGAGAAGAAAGACAGGGCUGCCUCUCGGAUUCGUUUCUCAGAAUUACCAAGGAUUAACCUACCAGGAGACGUUGUCGUGACGUCGAGGUCUCCGGGCGAUGAUACCACGACCCCGCCUAGAAGGCAGAGUCCCACCACCGCAAGCAGAAACCAUCUUU